GUGACUUACUCUUGAAGGCAGGAUACAUGGCGACAGUGUUGGUGAUGAGCGAAGCAUCAUAUCUGGACUCGGGAGAUGUUGCCAGCUCUGUCAACACAAACAUAGGGUCCUGAGUUCACCCUGUGGUGCUACCUGGGGGGAAGAGGAAGCCAUACGUGAGGCACCUCUGCAUAUCCUCCUUGUCCACAACCAUGGACGUCGUCUGAGGUCUUCUUCUUUCCUCCAACAUAUCCACUCUCCCUCCUCUGAACAUGUCCAAACUGCCUCAGCCUCGUCUCGCUAACGUUAUCUCCAAACUCCUCGACCUGAGCUUUGCCUCUGAUGUACUCAUUUAUCAUCCUGUCAAUUCUGGAUACUCCCAAAUGAAAAAGUUUGCAAAAGGUGUGUUAAAGUGCUUUUCACAGACAAGAUUGUAAAUUCAAGAAUUAGACUUUCCACAGGAAGAGGGCGGUGAUGACCUGCAGACUCUUCAGGUUAAGUUUCUUGAUAUGAACAGCAGCUAAUUGUAAGCAAACAACUGGCCUGAAAUAUCCUGGUAACAGGAUACACUUCAUAUCAUGGAAGUGUAUCUAUAAAAUUAUCCUGUGAAGUUUUUAUAAUUGUAAUGAAAUUCCAACAAGAGAAAUAAACCUUAAACUUAAAUAAAGUUUAAGGUGACUU